UUAAUUGGCUCCAGUACCACCUCGUGUUGUUGGCCUGGAACGAAAUUUCUCCUCUGUCUCCCCGCCCAGUCCACAGGCACCCUCACCAGGCCCCUCUUGAUGAGAGACGUGUGAGGGUUUUCCAGUCCUGAUUUUUCUGGAAUUUACGUGCACCACUCUGCCCUGGGAUUCUAACCUGUCACUCAUGCUCCUGUUUUGUUCCCCUCUUUCUCCUACGCGGAGGGGGCUGCGAAGGUCAGGCUGUUUUCCAUCACAGGCAGCCCAGCAAGUGCUGUCUCAAGGGAAUUUUGAUUCCCUGAGAUAGACCAAAGCACUAAGUGGGGCUAUUUUCCCUUGAUAUGGAUUUGGGGGGAGGUGCGCAUGGGGGGAGGGAGAAUUGAUGUAAUCGGGGUUUGGCAAAACAAGUCAAAUUUUUGUGGCCUUUAAGAAAGGCCACAACUGUCCUAACAAAUUAGUAGAGAACACUGAAGCCAAUACUUAUUUUGGAAAUUAGAUCCUGGAGCCCAGAGAAGGGAGCUAAGGGUCCUAGGUUGUCCAUGCCUUGCAACCUUGAGGGCCUGGGUUGGCUGGUAGAGGAGGAGGCUGAGGGCACGGGGUGGGAAGAGCACAGUGUGGCUGCAGGGGCCUGGGUUGGGCUGCCCGUCCCUGCUUGUGGGCCAUGGCCAGGGUCCUGCCACCCGAGGCUCAGAGUUCUGACCUGGCACUACCGAAGGGGCAAUGGAUUCUAUGAUCUCUUAUUUUCCUACAGUCUUCAGAUAUUCAAAUCUGAGGUUUCCUUCUCUUCUUACCACCUACUUAGGACCCCUAAUGGAUGAGCAGUUUCCUCCUAUCAGCCCUCCAAGUGUCUUUACCUUGUCACUGCUGCGUAGGAUUUGUCACCCGACGCCCAGCCUGUCCUCGGCUGAAGCAAGAACACGGGAGAGCCUCUAUGUGUGCUUUACAUCAGGCACAGAACUAAGGCCCUGGGCUCUGUGUGCCAUCGCCCAGACUGUGUGCUUCGCUGCCUGCCUGUCAUUACCAGUGUGGCUCCUUCUCUGA
rnacentral:lncRNA from 1 species